AACGAACGCUGGCGGCAGGCCUAACACAUGCAAGUCGAGCGAGCAUUUCGGUGCUAGCGGCGGACGGGUGAGUAACGCGUGGGAACGUGCCCUUUUCUGCGGAAUAGUCCUGGGAAACUGGGGGUAAUACCGCAUACGCCCUUUUGGGGAAAGAUUUAUCGGAGAAGGAUCGGCCGGCGUUGGAUUAGGUAGUUGGUGGGGUAAUGGCCCACCAAGCCGACGAUCCAUAGCUGGGUUGAGAGGAUGAUCAGCCACACUGGGACUGAGACACGGCCCAGACUCCUACGGGAGGCAGCAGUGGGGAAUCUUAGACAAUGGGGGCAACCCUGAUCGAGCCAGGCCGCGUGAGUGAUGAAGGCCUUAGGGUUGUAAAGCUCUUUCAGCUGGGAAGAUAAUGACGGUACCAGCAGAAGAAGCCCCGGCUAACUCCGUG
rnacentral:rRNA from 1 species